rnacentral:rRNA from 1 species
AUUGAACGCUGGCGGCAGGCCUAACACAUGCAAGUCGAACGAGUGGCGGACGGGUGAGUAAUGUCUGGGAAACUGCCUGAUGGAGGGGGAUAACUACUGGAAACGGUCGCUAAUCCCGCAAACCAUCGUAUGUGCCCAGAUGGGAUUAUCUAGUAGGUGGGGGAACGGCGCACCUAGGCGACGAUCCCUAGCUGGUCUGAGAGGAUGACCAGCCACACUGGAACGGAGACACGGUCCAGACUCCUACGGGAGGCAGCAGUGGGGAAUAUUGCACAAUGGGCGCAAGCCUGAUGCAGCCAUGCCGCGUGUAUGAAGAAGGCCUUCGGGUUGUAAAGUACUUUCAGCGGGGAGGCGUUACCCGCAGAAGAAGCACCGGCUAACUCCGUGCCAGCAGCCGCGGUAAUAC